rnacentral:rRNA from 1 species
AAUUGCAGAAUCUCGUGAAUCAUUGAAUCUUUGAACGCACAUUGCGCCUUAUGGUAUUCCAUAAGGCAUGCCUGUCUGAGCGUCAGCU